CGCUAGAUGUUAUCGCUAGAUGUUAUAGCUAGAUGUUAUCGAUAACAUCUAGCUAUAACAUCUAGAGAUAACAUCUAGCU
rnacentral:pre_miRNA from 1 species